ACUUAAAUUGAAGAGUUUGAUCAUGGCUCAGAUUGAACGCUGGCGGCAGGCCUAACACAUGCAAGUCGAGCGGUAACACAGAGAGCUUGCUCUCGGGUGACGAGCGGCGGACGGGUGAGUAAUGUCUGGGAAACUGCCUGAUGGAGGG
rnacentral:rRNA from 1 species